CGUAUACCCCGUUCGUCCGGAAAUACUUGUCAUAUGAAUGGAUGUAUCUAGAUGUAUUUUAGUUCUGGAUACAUCCAUUUAUACUCAUUUUUAUGACAAUUAAUUCCGGACAGAGGGAUUAGUUA
rfam:Hordeum vulgare subsp. vulgare, WGS project CAJW01000000 data, contig: morex_contig_1567343